UCCCCGAUAGUCUAGUGGUGAGGAUAUCUGCUUGUCAGUCAAACGAUUCCCAGGGGACCGGGGUUCAAUUCCCCGUCGAGGAG
rnacentral:tRNA from 1 species